rnacentral:rRNA from 1 species
UCUGGAAGAAUCUGGAGACAGGUGCUGCAUGGCUGUCGUCAGCUCGUGUCGUGAGAUGUUGGGUUAAGUCCCGCAACGAGCGCAACCCUUGCCUUUAGUUGCCAGCAGUUCGGCUGGGCACUCUAAAGGGACUGCCGGUGUUAAACCGGAGGAAGGUGGGGAUGACGUCAAGUCCUCAUGGCCUUUAUGACCAGGGCUACACACGUACUACAAUGGCCGAUACAAAGGGCAGCGACACUGCGAGGUGAAGCCAAUCCCGUAAAAUCGGUCUCAGUCCGGAUUGGAGUCUGCAACUCGACUCCAUGAAGUUGGAAUCGCUAGUAAUCGUGGAUCAGCAUGCCACGGUGAAUACGUUCCCGGGCCUU